GGCGUGCCUAAUACAUGCCAGUCGAUUCGGACAGAAGGGAGCUUGCUCCCGGUAUGUUAGCGGCGGACGGGUGAGUAACACGUGGGUAACCUGCCUGUAAGACUGGGAUAACUCCGGGAAACCGGAGCUAAUACCGGAUAGUUCCUGAACCGCAUGGUUCAAGGAUGAAAGACGGUUUCGGCUGUCACUUACAGAUGGACCCGCGGCGCAUUAGCUAGUUGGUGGGGUAAUGGCUCACCAAGGCGACGAUGCGUAGCCGACCUGAGAGGGUGAUCGGCCACACUGGGACUGAGACACGGCCCAGACUCCUACGGGAGGCAGCAGUAGGGAAUCUUCCGCAAUGGACGAAAGUCUGACGGAGCAACGCCGCGUGAGUGAUGAAGGUUUUCGGAUCGUAAAGCUCUGUUGUUAGGGAAGAACAAGUGCGAGAGUAACUGCUCGCACCUUGACGGUACCUAACCAGAAAGCCACGGCUAACUACGUGCCACCAGCCGCGGUAAUACGUAGGUGGCAAGCGUUGUCCGGAAUUAUUGGGCGUAAAGGGCUCGCAGGCGGUUUCUUAAGUCUGAUGUGAAAGCCCCCGGCUCAACCGGGGAGGGUCAUUGGAAACUGGGAAACUUGAGUGCAGAAGAGGAGAGUGGAAUUCCACGUGUAGCGGUGAAAUGCGUAGAGAUGUGGAGGAACACCAGUGGCGAAGGCGACUCUCUGGUCUGUAACUGACGCUGAGGAGCGAAAGCGUGGGGAGCGAACAGGAUUAGAUACCCUGGUAGUCCACGCCGUAAACGAUGAGUGCUAAGUGUUAGGGGGUUUCCGCCCCUUAGUGCUGCAGCUAACGCAUUAAGCACUCCGCCUGGGGAGUACGGUCGCAAGACUGAAACUCAAAGGAAUUGACGGGGGCCCGCACAAGCGGUGGAGCAUGUGGUUUAAUUCGAAGCAACGCGAAGAACCUUACCAGGUCUUGACAUCCUCUGACAACCCUAGAGAUAGGGCUUUCCCUUCGGGGACAGAGUGACAGGUGGUGCAUGGUUGUCGUCAGCUCGUGUCGUGAGAUGUUGGGUUAAGUCCCGCAACGAGCGCAACCCUUGAUCUUAGUUGCCAGCAUUUAGUUGGGCACUCUAAGGUGACUGCCGGUGACAAACCGGAGGAAGGUGGGGAUGACGUCAAAUCAUCAUGCCCCUUAUGACCUGGGCUACACACGUGCUACAAUGGACAGAACAAAGGGCUGCAAGACCGCAAGGUUUAGCCAAUCCCAUAAAUCUGUUCUCAGUUCGGAUCGCAGUCUGCAACUCGACUGCGUGAAGCUGGAAUCGCUAGUAAUCGCGGAUCAGCAUGCCGCGGUGAAUACGUUCCCGGGCCUUGUACACACCGCCCGUCACACCACGAGAGUUUGCAACACCCGAAGUCGGUGAGGUAACCUUUAUGGAGCCAGCCGCCGAAGGUGGGGCAGAUGAUUGGGGUGAAGUCGUAACAAGGUAGCCGUAUCGGAAGG
rnacentral:rRNA from 1 species